rnacentral:rRNA from 1 species
ACCUAUGGCCACACCACACUGAAAGCGCCCAAUCUCAUCUGAUCUCGGAAGUUAUAAGGGGACAGGCUGGCUUAAUCCCUGUAUGGGAGAGCACCUGGGAAUACCAGGUGUCAUAGGCU